GAUAGUGAACAUGGUGGAGCUAUUUAAGGACAAGAGGGUGUGCUCUGGAGUUGCUGGGACAUUUAGCUGGGACUGUUCUAAGACUCACUUUCCUGGGUUUGUGGAGCAAGCCGAGGCUCUGAGAGCUAAGGGUAUGUAGAUACUGACAUAUCUGAGUGUUCAAUAUGUCUUUGUGACCAAAAAGUUUGAUCAAACCCACAAAGCUGAAUGGAAAACUCUUGGCUGAUACCACUGGGGCCUUUGGGAAGACAGAUUUAUUACUAAGUGAUUCUUUGGUUUCCCUCUUUGGGAAUCGCUGGCUCACAAGGUUUUCUGUGGUGAUGGAGGAGAGCCAAAAGCUGGAUGACACAGGCCUAGCCUGUAGUCUGGUCCCCAACCUCUCGAAGCU
rnacentral:lncRNA from 1 species